rnacentral:piRNA from 1 species
UGAGUCGGCGAUUCUGCCCAGAAUAAGGUG